CAGUUCGGACUGUAGGCUGCAACUCGCCUACACGAAGCUGGAAUCGCUAGUAAUCGCGGAUCAGCACGCCGCGGUGAAUACGUUCCCGGGCCUUGUACACACCGCCCGUCACACCAUGAGAGUCUGUAACACCCAAAGCCGGUGGCCUAACCACUUAUGUGGAAGGAGCCGUCUAAGGCAGGGCAGAUGACUGGGGUGAAGUCGUAACAAGGUAAC
rnacentral:rRNA from 1 species